AUUAUACAGCGAAACUGCGAAUGGCUCAUUAUAUAAGUUAUCGUUUAUUUGAUAGUACCUUACUACUUGGAUAACCGUGGUAAUUCUAGAGCUAAUACAUGCUAAAAAUCCCGACUUCGGAAGGGAUGUAUUUAUUAGAUUAAAAACCAAUGCCCUCUGGGCUCCUUGGUGAUUCAUGAUAACUCUUCGAAUCGCACGGCCUUGCGCCGGCGAUGGUUCAUUCAAAUUUCUUCCCUAUCAACUUUCGAUGUUUGGGUAUUGGCCAAACAUGGUUGCAACGGGUAACGGAGGGUUAGGGCUCGACCCCGGAGAAGGAGCCUGAGAAACGGCUACUACAUCCAAGGAAGGCAGCAGGCGCGCAAAUUACCCAAUCCCGAUUCGGGGAGGUAGUGACAAUAAAUACUGAUACAGGGCUCUUUUGGGUCUUGUAAUUGGAAUGAGUACAAUUUAAAUCCCUUAACGAGGAACAAUUGGAGGGCAAGUCUGGUGCCAGCAGCCGCGGUAAUUCCAGCUCCAAUAGCGUAUAUUAAAGUUGUUGUGGUUAAAAAGCUCGUAGUUGAACCUUGGGCCUGGCUGGCCGGUCCGCCUCACCGCGUGCACUGGUCCGGCCGGGCCUUUCCCUCUGUGGAACCCCAUGCCCUUCACUGGGCGUGGCGGGGAAACAGGACGUUUACUUUGAAAAAAUUAGAGUGCUCCAGGCAGGCCUAUGCUCGAAUACAUUAGCAUGGAAUAAUGAAAUAGGACGCGUGGUUCUAUUUUGUUGGUUUCUAGGACCGCCGUAAUGAUUAAUAGGGACAGUCGGGGGCAUCAGUAUUCAAUUGUCAGAGGUGAAAUUCUUGGAUUUAUUGAAGACUAACUACUGCGAAAGCAUUUGCCAAGGAUGUUUUCAUUAAUCAGGAACGAAAGUUAGGGGAUCGAAGACGAUCAGAUACCGUCGUAGUCUUAACCAUAAACUAUGCCGACUAGGGAUCGGACGAUGUUAUUUUUUGACGCGUUCGGCACCUUACGAGAAAUCAAAGUGCUU
rnacentral:rRNA from 1 species